UCCAGAAUUACUUUGCCGAUGGGGUUCUCAGCCUGGGGGAGCUGCAGGAACUGUUCAGCGGCAUUGAUGGGCAUCUCACCGACAAUUUAGAAACAGAAAAACUGUGUGACUACUUCUCAGAGCACCUGGGUGUCUACCGGCCGGUGCUGGCUGCAUUGGAAUCGCUGAACCGUGCAGUGCUCGCUGCCAUGGAUGCCACCAAGCUGGUGAGUGGAGUGGCUGAUGGUGGGGGAUCCACUGUGAGGCAGUGGGCAUCUGCUGUGCUGUGGGAUCCUCCACAGUCUUGACUCAGGGUUAUAGAGCUAGGGGCUUGGGUUCAAAUCCUGGCUCCCACUUUGUAGCUGUGCCCCUUGACCUCUCUGGGCCUGUUUCCUCAUCUGUAAACCAUCAUAACAAUAGAGCUGCCCUUCAUACAUCACUGUGACCAGUGAGAACGAA
rnacentral:lncRNA from 10 species